UGUUUCGGCUAGGGGGUCAUCCCGACUUACCAACCCGAUGCAAACUACGAAUACCGAAGAAUGUUAUCACGGGAGACACACGGCGGGUGCUAACGUCCGUCGUGAAGAGGGAAACAACCCAGACCGCCAGCUAAGGUCCCAAAGUCAUGGUUAAGUGGGAAACGAUGUGGGAAGGCACAGACAGCCAGGAUGUUGGCUUAGAAGCAGCCAUCAUUUAAAGAAAGCGUAAUAGCUCACUGGUCGAGUCGGCCUGCGCGGAAGAUGUAACGGGGCUAAACCAUGCACCGAAGCUGCGGCAGCGACACUAUGUGUUGUUGGGUAGGGGAGCGUUCUGUAAGCCUGCGAAGGUGACCUGUGAGGGUUGCUGGAGGUAU
rnacentral:rRNA from 1 species